UAAAUCAAAACCUUAGCCUCUCCAAUAUUCUUCUUCUUCUUCCUCCUCUCUUGGUAGCCGCCUACCCCCUCCUUCUUCGUCUCCGGCGAUCCGCCACCAACCGGCACGGUCAAAUCCCAUCCCAUGCCCAAAUUUCUUUCUUCUUUCUUAUUCUUCUUCUGUGACUUCUUCUCCCUCUUAUUUCUUCUUCUUCUUUAGCCGCUUCUUCUUUCUUUUUCUUCUCCUGCUGUUUCUUCUUCUUCUUUCUUCGUCUUUUCUACUGCUUCUCACGCUAUUGAUGGCACUACCAGGCCUAUUCUUUUCUUUUUUAAUCCAUCGUUUCGUUCUGUUUCGUUUUUUAGGGUUCUAUCAUUUGAAAAGUACGAAACACGAAAUUUGCGAUUCAAAAUGCGAUUUGAAUCGUUUUGCCUUUGUUUCAUUAUGAAUCGUAACGUUUUUAACAACAUUGAUUUUGUGUACUCUUUCCUCCAAUAUAUCCCAUCUAAUAUGUCUAUGGGUUGCUUUGAUAAGGUUCUUCAUGAGCACCAAUUUAUCACUACUGGUUAUGUUAAAUUUGAGCCCUAACACUGAUGAACUCCAUAGGGAGAAUAUCAAACGAGUUGGAAUAUACAACUCCAUGAUAUCUAAUGGUGAUCACUUUUUGAAGAUGAGGAUGAGGUUAUUGAAUAAAAAACUUAAUGCUUUCUUGGAUGAAAAGGUUGAGAAGUUGGCGUAACUAGGUCGUAGGGGACGCAGGGGAACACUACAACAAAUCAGAGUUUUAAUGUCGGACAAAAAAAAAUACGGAGGAAAUGAUGACGGACAAAAAAACUUUGAGGAAACAAGGACGGACCAGUUAAAAAGGGCGUUAAAAUAAAAUAAAAAUAAAAAUAAAAAUUUUAAUGAUGGGCCAAGCCCGACAUUAAAGAUUACCCAAUUUUUAAACCUAACUCUAGUUUUCACCCAAAAAAUAUCUGCCUCCCAGCUCCAU